UUUAUAAAAUCAUUGUCCAAUUGUGUUUUGAUAAUGUGUGCUGUGCAUUUCUUGAAGAAGGACUUGAUAAGGAUUUAACAAGAAUGGGAAAUGUUGGAAAUUUAUUCUGUGAUAGUGUAAAAGAUGUGCUUUGAAGAAGUGAUCAGUUCAAAAGGAAGUGGGAUACGCUAUCAAUUAUUAACACAACUAUCGAUAUUAUCCGAGUACUGGCCUAGCAUGCUCCACUCAGGACGAGAAACGUGGUCUGUAGGACAACUCAACUAACUUGACGAGGAAUCAACAUAUGGUGGAUGAAUAAUUUAAUGAAAAAUUGAACGCGGACAGUUUACUAGAAAUAGAAAUUUGAAUGUCUUUCCUAGAGUUGAUAACAGCCGAAGAAAAAGUCCUGGAAACAAUGGAAGGAUAUCUCUGUGUUAAGUGGUGUUUAGAAUCGGGAUAGGAUUUGCAACAUCAUCAAUGUGGUACUCAUUGCAGCUGCUGGCCACUGCACAAGAUUAGAAAUUAGACUCUUGUGCGUGUGACAGCGGCUAUUGUGGGAUACCCUGGUCAACAAUUACCAGUCAUCGGAGUUUAGAUAUGUAAAAGAAGAAAUUUGCUCGCGAAACGUCAACCCUUUCAUUCCUUUUUGUUCAGUGUGUAAUCAAAUGCAUAAUUCUUUAGUGAUGUGAAAGUAAAAGAUUCGAAAGGUCUGCAGUUUU